rnacentral:rRNA from 1 species
UACGUAGGGUGCGAGCGUUAAUCGGAAUUACUGGGCGUAAAGCGUGCGCAGGCGGUUCGUUGUGUCGGUGGUGAAAUCCCCGGGCUUAACCUGGGAAUGGCCAUGGAAACUGGCGAACUGGAGUGCGGCAGAGGGGGGUGGAAUUCCGCGUGUAGCAGUGAAAUGCGUAGAUAUGCGGAGGAACACCGAUGGCGAAGGCAAUCCCUUGGGCCUGCACUGACGCUCAUGCACGAAAGCGUGGGGAGCAAACAGG